AGUCACUGACAUUAGAUACCCUGUAGUCCCAGCCGUAAACAAUGUGCGUUAGGUGUGUCGGUAACCACGCGUUACUGAUGCGCCGAAGAGAAAUCGUGAAACGCACCACCUGGGAAGUACGGUCGCAAGGCUGAAACUUAAAGGAAUUGGCGGGGAGCACCACAACAGGUGGAGCCUGCGGUUUAAUUGGAUUCAACGCCGGACAUCUCACCGGAUAAGACAGCUGAAUGAUUGUCAAUCUGAAGGUUUUACAUGACUAGCUG
rnacentral:rRNA from 1 species